UACGAAGGGGGCUAGCGUUGCUCGGAAUCACUUGGGCGUAAAGGGUGCGUAGGCGGGUCUUUAAGUCAGGGGUGAAAUCCUGGAGCUCAACUCCAGAACUGCCUUUGAUACUGAGGAUCUUGAGUUCGGGAGAGGUGAGUGGAACUGCGAGUGUAGAGGUGAAAUUCGUAGAUAUUCGUCAAGAACACCAGUGGCGAAGGCGGCUCACUGGCCCGAUACUGACGCUGAGGCACGAAAGCGUGGGGAGCAAACAGGG
rnacentral:rRNA from 1 species